AUUGAACGCUGGCGGCAGGCUUAACACAUGCAAGUCGAGCGGAGAUGAGGUGCUUGCACCUUAUCUUAGCGGCGGACGGGUGAGUAAUGCUUAGGAAUCUGCCUAUUAGUGGGGGACAACAUUCCGAAAGGAAUGCUAAUACCGCAUACGCCCUACGGGGGAAAGCAGGGGAUCUUCGGACCUUGCGCUAAUAGAUGAGCCUAAGUCGGAUUAGCUAGUUGGGGGGGUAAAGGCCUACCAAGGCGACGAUCUGUAGCGGGUCUGAGAGGAUGAUCCGCCACACUGGGACUGAGACACGGCCCAGACUCCUACGGGAGGCAGCAGUGGGGAAUAUUGGACAAUGGGCGGAAGCCUGAUCUAGCCAUGCCGCGUGUGUGAAGAAGGCCUUUUGGUUGUAAAGCACUUUAAGCGAGGAGGAGGCUACCUGGAUUAAUACUCUAGGAUAGUGGACGUUACUCGCAGAAUAAGCACCGGCUAACUCUGUGCCAGCCGCCGCAGUAACAC
rnacentral:rRNA from 1 species